AUAUCAACCUUGACCACUUUAUAGUGUAUAGAUCAGGACAUGUAUAAACAGACGGUAGGUUUCUGCAUGUAGUGAUCAAUAUCUAGACUGAUUUAUAUAUCAAUCUGAGUACAUUGUACAUACCUGGGUUAUUGUAUUGCAAAAUAUUGAGAGAUGUAUAUAUAAUCUGAGGUACUUAUUAGGUUAUAGGAGAAUGGUAAUUGAAAUCGUAAAAUGUCUUUUUUUACAUUAUUUUAAAGUCUGGGUAAUUCUGGAUUGUUCGUGAAUCUUUUUUAGUAUUGGAGAUACAUGAAAAUGCUGGAACCUUCCCCGAUGCUUGAAAUUGGAAGUUGUCCGAGGACAGAGCAAAUCCUUAUUAUGUAAAGAUGCGGAAGAGGAAACUACCAAUACAGGCGGUUGAUGUCCAAAGGCAACAAAAACAGAACACGUCACGGGUGAAGGACUAGUAAAUGCGUUGAUACUUUUCUUUAAAGAUAAACACGUUGGAAGUUUUGGAGAUGGUCCUGGUGUUUACAAACAACGUAUAUUAUAUUCAGGGAAAGUUAAGAGUUUCUACUAGUUUGAUCAACAGAUGCUGACAGACAGCCCGAAUGAGCAUAUAUUUAUCGAGAUCAGAAAAAUGAAUAUUUCCAUGGGGGCAUCAUUUGUAACCUGCUUACAUAUCGAAUUCCAACCCAGAAGCAACAUGCGUCUUUUCAAGGAGCUCGUUUUGAAUACAUCUUCGGAUAUUAGAAGGGGUGUACAGCUCUUCUAGGUAGACGGCAAAUCGAAAAGCCUAUAUAGUCGAUGAGCCAGACCCAGUAGUUUUGGCCAGCGGAACCAUCCGAGGGGAUUAAAACUCAAUGCUAUUUUUGGAUAUCUGACAAUUCAGAAACUAUGUGAUGGCAUUGCAUUGGUGGUAGCUUUUUGUGAGUUAUUAGCAGUAACCCCAUCCCAAAAUAGACUUUCAUCGAACUUCUGUUAUACAUCAGAAGACUUUCUAUUUCAAACUAAUGGUUCUCUUUUAUUUUUGACUAUAUUUGCUUGGAAAUUGAUAGACAAACAGCUCAGUUUAUGUAUUUUAUGUAUUUUAUGUAUUUUAUAGAACUGUGGUUGAACAAUUGCCUCUUUAGCGUUUAGUGAUUGCAAUUACAGACACACAUAGACCAGUGCUUAAACAUAAUUAAAGAACACAAAUAUUAUUUCAUAAUAUGCAGUUAGAAAGAUGUUUUGCUCAUUCUUGAACUAGUAUGACAUGUUUAAAUACAUAGAGUAUAAGGCAGUAGAAUUCUACAGAUCACAAAAUGAAAUUGUCUGCCAUUGGCUGUUGGGGCGCUUGUAAUUUACGGCCUAUCAAUGUGCGUUACCUACUUGUUUGAAAUUAAUUAAUACUUCUAUAAAUGAUAUGGAACAAAAAAGUAUGAAUAUCGUUAAAUCAAAGCAAUUUCUUAACUAGUUUUGAUAUGUUUAAUCUAUAAUUAGACAGAUAUUCGCAUGCCAUUUUUUUAUUAUCAAAGUCGCCUUGUUGGCAUUGUUAUUUACGUGACAAUACACGUGUAGACGCAAACACCAAAAUAUGUUAUUUAAACAUGAUGUUUUACUAUUUGAUCUGUCUAAAAGUUGCAUACUCAUGCCUACUUCUGUAUCAAUGUUCUUAUGCUUAAACAGUAAACAUUUUUAUGCUGAAUAAUAACAGAUGAUACUUUUGUACAGUAAAAUACGUUACCAUAAAAUCAAGAUUUUCAUAAUAUUUCAUUUAAACAUGAUAAAGUGGUUGUUAUUUAGUAUUAUGUUUAGAAAAGAAACUUUUUAACUAAUCAAUAAAAUCAUUCUACAAUUAGAUAUCAAAUGUCAUGUUAAUUAAUUGAAUGGAAAAGUGUAAUUUAUGUUACAAUAUGUUACCGUAAUCGGUAAUAUGCUUGUCACAAACUGACAUACGGGCCUCAUUGUAUCUGUAGUGUAAAUGCAGGCAUUGUAUCAUCUUUUUGUAAAUGUUUUACUUAUUGAGGUAAAUGUCUGACUUUACGUA
rnacentral:lncRNA from 1 species